UACGUAGGGGGCAAGCGUUAUCCGGAUUUACUGGGUGUAAAGGGAGCGUAGACGGCGAUGCAAGUCUGGAGUGAAAGGCGGGGGCCCAACCCCCGGACUGCUUUGGAAACUGUAUAGCUGGAGUGCAGGAGAGGUAAGUGGAAUUCCUAGUGUAGCGGUGAAAUGCGUAGAUAUUAGGAGGAACACCAGUGGCGAAGGCGGCUUACUGGACUGUAACUGACGUUGAGGCUCGAAAGCGUGGGGAGCAAACAGG
rnacentral:rRNA from 1 species